AUUGAACGCUGGCGGCAUGCCUUACACAUGCAAGUCGAACGGCAGCAUGGAAGAGCUUGCUCUUCUGAUGGCGAGUGGCGAACGGGUGAGUAAAGCAUCGGAACGUACCGUGUAAUGGGGGAUAACGUAGCGAAAGUUACGCUAAUACCGCAUACGACCUGAGGGUGAAAGCAGGGGAUCGCAAGACCUUGCGUUAUACGAGCGGCCGAUGUCAGAUUAGCUAGUUGGUAGGGUAAAGGCCUACCAAGGCGACGAUCUGUAGCGGGUCGGAGAGGAUGGACCGGCACACUGGGACUGAGGCACGGCCCAGACUCCUACGGGAGGCAGCAGUGGAGAAUUUUGGACAAUGGGGGCAACCCUGAUCCAGCCAUGCCGCGUGAGUGAAGAAGGCCUUCGGGUUGUAAAGCUCUUUCGGCCGGGAAGAAAUCGCACAGGCUAAUACUCUGUGUGGAUGACGGUACCGGCAUAAGAAGCACCGGCUAACUACGUGCCAGCAGCCGCGGUAA
rnacentral:rRNA from 1 species